GACAGAGGUGCCAAGUGUUAGGCGGAAUCACUGGGCUUAAAGCGUGUGUAGGCGGGUCGUUAAGUACCUUGUGAAAUCCCCCGGCUCAACCGGGGAACGGCUGGGUAUACUGGCGAUCUUGAGCCACCUAGGGGCAGUCGGAACAAGUGGUGGAGCGGUGAAAUGCGUAGAUAUCACUUGGAACGCCAAUGGUGAAAACAGACUGCUGGGGGUGUGCUGACGCUGAGACACGAAAGCCAGGGGAGCAAACGGG
rnacentral:rRNA from 1 species